rnacentral:rRNA from 1 species
UACGUAGGGCGCAAGCGUUGUCCGGAAUUAUUGGGCGUAAAGAGCUCGUAGGCGGCUUGUUGCGUCAGCUGUGAAAACCCGCAGCUCAACUGUGGGCUUGCAGCUGAUACGGGCAGGCUUGAGUUCGGUAGGGGAGACUGGAAUUCCCGGUGUAGCGGUGAAAUGCGCAGAUAUCAGGAGGAACACCGGUGGCGAAGGCGGGUCUCUGGGCCGAUACUGACGCUGAGGAGCGAAAGCGUGGGGAGCGAACAGG